GAGCCGGCGCCAGAGGACUAGUACUGGAAAGCCGGCCGGGACAGGGCGGGGCAGGGCGGGGCCGGGUGGGGCCUGCGCUGCCUCAGCGUCCUGGAGUCGUCUCGGUUCGCCCUUUUGCGUGCCUUCCACCGCCGCGAGCUCGGAAUGUCUGGCCCCGGGUGCUUCAGGGUCCGAGAACCUGCAGAAGUUCACACUUAAAUCCUACACGAGAGUCGUAUUUAUGAUGCAGAACUCGGUGCAGAACCCGAUGGAGUGCCCAAGGCGCUUGAGCCGUUCCUAGAAGGGGAAGGAGAGCCGCGGGCGGCAGCGGGGCAGGGGACGGAAUUGGGAAGCUUGGGAGCAGGAAGAAGGCCAGAGCUACUUAGGGGACUCAAGACUGGAAUGGGAAGAGCAUGAAAUUGAGCUGUCUAUCCCCCUGGAUCUCUCAUUGCCACCUGCCCAUAGGUUGGCUGCACCCCUCCACCAAAGAAAGGCCAUGACUCCUUCCUGGCAGCCCUGUCUUACAGCUACUCUCUGGUGAUCUGGGAACCACUCCCUCCCUUACCCCUUGAUGCCUAGGGCUAGUGCCAGCACCUUGUUGUUGUUAGCCUCAGAGGCACUUGCACUGUUCCUUGAUGGUUUUCCCAAAUCUUGCCCUCAUCUUUGUAAAUACUGUUUGCCGUUUAUUACACUGUCAUCA
rnacentral:lncRNA from 1 species